GGUGGUGGAAAGAAGAAGAAAGGUAAGAAAGGAGAUAAGACUGAGGACCCUACGGAUGCUGAGCCAAUGGAUACCACAGCCAAUGGUGCUGCAUCUCAAGAAUGAACAUCCCCACAACCACACCCUUAAAAAAAGGAAAAAAGAAAAAUAGAAAUUCUCCUCGCCUUUUCCUUUCUUCAAAUUUGGCUCUGCCCCACCGUUGAAUCUCAUUUGUAUACGAUGAGCAAGGUGAGUGUGGUUGGCAGAUCAGAUUAAAGUGGUGAACGUUCUUUAUUGGGUAUUAUUAAUGAAUCCAACUUCUCUUUUGUAUGGUCGACAUACUUGCCUUUUCAUUUCGGACUCCAUGGACGCGUUGAUUGUCACUCGAGAUGUGCG
rnacentral:misc_RNA from 1 species